rnacentral:lncRNA from 1 species
UAUUUAUUUAUAUAUAUAUUUAUAAAUAAAUUGGGGACAGAAAAUCCUCUUCAAUAAAUGGUGCUGGGAGAACUGGCAAGUCAGAAAAAUGAAACCAGUUCCUCAUCUCUCACCUCAUACAAAAAUCAACUCAAGAUGGAUCAAAGACUUAAAUCUGACACCUGAAGCCAUAAAAAUAAAAAAAUUUAAAAAAACUCUUCUGGACAUUGAUUUAGGCAAAUAAUUCAUGACAAAGAUCCCAAAAGCAAAUGCAGCAAAAACAAAAAUAAAUAAAUGGGACCUAAUUAAACUAAGAAGCUUCUGCACACCAAAAGAAAUAAUCAACAGAGUAAACAGACAACCCACAGAGUGGGAGAAAAUAUUUGCAAACUUUGCAUCUGGCAAAGGACUGGUAUUCAGAAUCUACACGGAACUCAAAUCAGCAAUAAAAAAUAAUAAAAAUAAAUUAGAAAUUGAAAAUCCCAUAAAAAGUUGAGCAAAGGACACGAAUAGACGUUUCUCAAUAGAAGAUAUUCAAACAGCCAACAAACAUGAUAAAAAUGCUCAAUAUCACUAAUCUUUAGGGAAAUGAAAAUUAAAACCGCAAUGAGAUACCAUCUUACUCCUGCAAGAAUGGCCAUAAUUAAAAAGUCAUAAAACGAUCGAUGUUGGCAUGGAUGUGGUGAAAAGGAAACACUUUUACACUACUGGUGGGAAUGUAAAUUAGUACAACAACUACCAUGGAACACAGUAUGGAGAGUCAUUAAAGAACUAAUGUAGAACUACAACUUGAUCCAGCAAUGUCACUACUGGAUAUUUACCCAAAUGAAAAGGAAAUCAUGAUGUGAAAAAGACACAUACAUAUGCAUGUUUAUAGCAGCACAAUUCACAACUGCAAAAAUACGGAACCAAUGUAAGUGCCCAUCAACCAAUCAGUGGAUAAAGAAAAUGUGCUAUAUGUACACCAUGGAAUACUAUAUUCAGCCGUAAAAAGAACAAAAUAAUGUCUUUUGCCACAACUUGGAUGAAGCUGGAGGCCAUUAUUCUUAAGUAACUCAAGAAUAGAAAACCAAAUAUUGUAUGUACUCACUUAUAAGUGGGAGCUAUGAGGACACAAAAGCAUAAAAGCUAUGAGGACAUAAAGGCAUAAAAAUGAUAAAAUGUAAUUUGAGGACUCAGUUGGGGGAAAUUGGAAGAAGGAUGAGGGAUAAAAGACUACAUAUUGGGUACAGUGUACACUGCUUGGGUGAUGGGUACACUAAAAUCUCAGCAAUCACCACCGGAGAACUUAUCUAUGUAACCAAGAAGCACCUGUACCCCCACCCCAAAACUAUUGAAAUAAAAAAAUUGGAGCCCCAAAAUACAAUCUAUUAAAAACCUUUAAUUGCACUUCAUCACAAUUUAACACUUGCUCUGUGAAAAACACUGUUAAGAAACUGAAAGGACAGGUCACAGAGAGAAAAUAUUUGCAAAUCACAUACAUAAAAACUCAAAACUCAACAAUAAGAAACACAAAUCCAGUUUUUUUAAAGGCAAAUAUUUGAAAGAGACGUUUUACUAAAGAAAAUAUACAGAUGAGAAAUAAGCUUAUAAAGGGAUCCUCAACAUCAUUAAUCAUUAGAGAAAUAUAAAUUAAGACCAACAUGAGAUACUACUGUAAACCUGUGAGCAUGGCUAAAAUAAGAAAUUCUUGGACGGGCUCAUGCCUGUAAUCCCAACACUUUGGGAGGCCAAGGCUAGCAUAUCACCUGAGGUCGGGAGUUCAAGACCAGCCUGACCAACAUGAAGGAACCCCAUCUGUACUAAAAAUACAAAAUUAGCUGGACUUGGUGUUGCAUGCCUGUAAUCCCAGCUACUCGGGAGGCUGAGACAGGAGAAUUGCUUGAACCCAGGAGUCAGAGGUUGCAGUGAGCCAAGAUCGUGCCAUUGCACUCCAGCCUGGGCAACAAGAGUGAAACUCCAUCUCAAAAAAAGAAAAAAAAAAGAAAGAAAGAAAAGAAAAAAAGAAAUUCUCAAUAUUCCAAAUACUGACGAGAAUGAAGAGCAAAUAGAACUUUCAGGUAUUGCUGGUAGAAAUGUAAAAUGAUAAAGCAAUUUUGAAAAACAGUUUGUCAGUUUCUUAUAAAUAUAAAUAUGUACUCAACAUAGAACCCACCAAUCCCACUCAUAUGUAUUUACCCAAGUAAAUUGAAAACAUGUUCACAAAAAACCUUGCACUCAAAUGUCAAUUUUAUUCCUAACUGUCACUAACUAAAAUCAACUCAAAUAUCCACCAACAUGUAAACAAAAAAACAAACUGGAGGCCGGGCACAGUGACUCAUGCCUGUAAUCCCAGCACUUUGGGAAGCCAAGGCGGGUGGAUCACGAGGUCAAGAGAUGGAGACAAUCCUGGCCAACAUGGUGAAAUGACCUCUCUACUAAAAAUACAAAAAUUAGCUGGACAUGGUGGUGCGCACCUGUAGUCCCAGCUACUCGGGAGGCCGGGGUGGGAGAAUCACUUGAAUCCGGGAGGUGGAGGUUGCAGUGAGCUGAUAUCACACCACUGCACUCUAACCUGGUGACAUAGUGAGACUAUGUCUCAAAAAACAAACAAACAAACUGGAAUUCUACUCAGAAAUAAACAGAAAUAAAUUAUUGGUUCACAUGACAUCAUGAAUGAAUCUUAAAUAUAUUUUGCUAAGUGAAAGAAGCCAGACCCUUCGUAGUACAUAAUGUAUGAUCCAUUUACAAUGAAAUUCUGGAAAAAAAGUAAAACUAUACGGAAAGAAAACAGAUGAAUGGUUGCCAGUGGUUGGGGAUAGGAGGAGGUGUUGAUUACAAAGGAGCAAUACAAAGGAAUUUUCAGAGUGAUGUAACUCUUCUGUAUGGUACUAUUUUUGGACAUACGACUUCAUGCAUUUGUCAAAUCCAUAGAAUUGUACACCAAAAAGAGUAAAUUAUGCCAUAUGCAAACUAAAAAAAUAAAUCAGAGUAUCAGGAGACCAAAGAUACAGACAUAGGAAUCUAACUAUAUUACAAAUGAAUGCUAUAAGCACACCGAAAGGGAUGAGGAAGAAAAGUAACUUUGUAACUAAAUGAAUUUAGAAACAAGUAUCUGAAUACUGUGAGGCUAGAGACAGAAAGAACUAUACACUAACACUAUUCAAGUUGGUUAAUUUGUUUCUCACACUGGUAUGAGUUAGCAAGUCUGAAACCAAAUUACAUAUCCAAGGCUUUAACAAGUAAAUAUAUUGUUCCCAUUAUAGACCCAGGUUUCUCACUGCUGGAGAAAGAAGUGAAAAAUAAGCAAAUGAAUAAUAAUAGGAUGAACACUAUGGUCAAAAGGACACAGGAACCAGCCAGGUGCAGUGGCUCAUGCCUGUAAUCCCAGCACUUUGGGAGGCCAAGCCGGGCAGAUCACAAGGUCAGGAGUUCAAGACCAGCCUGGCAAAUAUAGUGAAACCCCGUCUCUACUAAAAAUACAAAAAUUAGCUGGGUGGUGUGGUGCGCACCUGUAAUCUCAAUUACUGGGGAGGCUAAGGCAGGAGAAUGGCUUCAACCCAGGAGGCAGAGGUUGCAGUGAGCCGAGAUCGUGCCACUGCACUCCAGUCUGGGUGACAGAGCAAGACUUCAUCUCAAAAAAAAAAAGAAAAAAAAGGACGCAGGGACCAACCUGAACAUGAUCCCAAUGAUCAACAAUGGGGACAAUUGAGAAAUAAAAUAAAUAUAAGUUAUCAGAUUAAAACCAAGAGAAUUAAGUAAACAUCCAUGAGUACAUACUGAUAUUAACGGAUGUUUGAACAAGUAAGUGGAAGGUAAAGAAAGGAAAACAACCCAAAGAACUGUAAAGGAUCCAAUAUUUACUAAAAUUACUAAAAAUUUGGCAAAGAUUAUUAUACUUACUAGUAUUUGUUUUUCUCCUCCUUUCCUUGAGCAUUUAGCUAAAUUGAAUUUCUUAGAUCCCCUCUCAUUGGGUUGGGACUUUUGUGCCUUAUUUUUGGCCAGAUGGAAUUUUGGCAGAAAUGACAGGUGUCAUGUAUAGGCCUAUCUCAUAAAAUGACUAGAGCUAUACUGCCCAAUAUAGUAGUCACUAGAUACAUAUGGCUAUUGAUCACUUAAAAGAUGGUUGUUAUAAAUUGAGAUGUGCUUUAAGUGUAAAACACAAGAUUUUGAAGAUCUUGUAUUUAAAAAUAACUUUAAAUACAUCAUUAAUAAUCUGAUAUUGAUUGAAUGUUUAAAUUAUAGUAGUUUGGGCAUAUUGAGUUAAAUACAAUAUAUUAUUAAAAUUAAUAUUACCUGUUUCUUUUUGCCUUUUUAAAAUGUGACAAUUGAUACAUUUUAAAUUAUAUAUAUAUUACUCAUCUUAAUGUUUCUAUUGGACAUCGCUGCUCUAGAAAACUUCCUCUCUGUCUCUCUUUCUCUCUCUCACUCUUGCUGUCUUCAAUUUUUGGCCAGCUGGAUAGACAGGAUCUGGCAGAGGACUAUGAAGUCACAGAAAAUGGUCAAUCUUUGACUACAUGGAAGACAGAUACUGUCUUUCCUGAAUUACCAAUUAUAGAAAAGCUGCCUAAUGACCAGGAACACCUACAUUUAACUGUUUUAUGUGUGAGAAAUAAUUUUUUUGUAUGUCAAGCCACUAAGAUGUGUAUGGUGUUUGUAACAGAAGUAAUUAUACACUGACUAAUACAAAUAGUAUGGGGAAGAGUUGAGCAAGAUAAAGAUGAUCAGAAUGUUAAGGUCCCUAAGAUAGCCCAAUUUGUGAAGAUAAGGAGCAGAGACCUGAAGAUAGUGAAAAAAUAAAUUUUAAUAUAGAAGUAAUACAGGUCCAAAGGCUCUGAGGUGAGAGACAUUUCGCUUGCUCAAGGAACAGCAAUGAUGUCAGUGUAAAAGAAGCACAGUCAGCUGUUAGGAUGAACCAAACACUUAGAAUUGCUGAUAUUUGACCAUUUUGACCUAUGAAUACAGAAAUUUUAUAUGGUUCAAUGUUAUGAGUGAGAGUAGUAGAAGAUGGAAUUUUAAAAGAUAAGAGGGUAAAGUCAGGUGGGGUUGAUCAUACACUAUCUUGUAGGCUAUUCUUGAGUAUUUUAUUUCCCUCUGAGUGAAAUGGGAAGCCACUGUAGUUUUUGCGUGGUAUUUAAGUACAGACAAUAAAGGAACAAGAGCAAAAGCAGUCUAGUAAAGAGGCCAUUGCAAUAAACGAGCUAUGGAAUAAAGAUAGUUCAAAUCAGGGUGGUAGCAGUAGAAGUUAUGAAAAAUGGCCAGACUUUAGAUACAUUUUGAAGGUAGAGCCAACAUAAUUUAGUGACAAAUUAGAUAUGAAUUGUGAGAAAGAAUGAUAUCACAUUUAUAGCCUUAGCAAACAGAAAGAUGAAGCUGCCAUUUACUGAGAUGAGGAAGUAGGUGUGCAGUGGAACAAGUCUUAGGGGCAAUAUUGGCAUCUCAAUUUGAAUAUAUUGAGUCUGUUAGAUAUCCACAUGGAAGAUGUCAAGUAGGUAGCUGGAUUUACAAGCCUGGAGUAAAAAGUGAGGUCAGGCUAGACAUACGUUUGAGGCCUUUCAACUUACAAAUGACAUUUAAAGCUAUAAGCCUAUAUGAAGUGGCCAAGGGAGACAGUGUAGAUAGAAAAGCAGUCUACAGACCGAGCCCUGGGGCAUUAAGAGAUUGAAGAAAUAAAGAGGAACCAAUAAAAAAAAAAAGACUAAAAAGUGACCAGUGAGUUACCAAGAAAACCUAGAGAGUUUUUCAUGGAAAACAGAACGAUCAAGGACUGAUGAUAUAUAAAGAUGGAGAUUAAUAAAUGAUCACUGAAGAUCACUGAUGAUCUUAUUGAAUGAUCAUUGGAGAUCACUGAUAACCUGAACAGUAGCAAUUUUCAUGGAGUUUGGGGGGAGCAGGCAGGGAAAUCAGACUGGAGUAGGUUUUUGAAACAAUGUGAUGAAUGUAAUUGAAGAUAAUGUAAUAGGCAAGUAUUUGAAGAAUUUCUGUUGCAAAGGGAAGUAGAAAAAAAUAGAGUGGUACAGCCAAUUAACACAGCAAUUUGGCAGCAUUUAAGAAAUUUGAAGUGCUUGUACUUACAAGAAAUUAUUUCUUCUUCUAGGAUGUACUUACAGAAACUCUGGUACAAGUAUACAGAGACAUUCAUUGCAGCACUGUUUGUGAAAAUGAAAUAUUGUAAUAAACCAAAAUAGUAAUCAACAACAAAAUGGAUGUUUAAAUGUAUUGUUCCAUGGAUGCCAAAAAUGUCACAUGUGUACUCUGAAAUAGACUAUUUUUGGCAACAGAUUUAAAAGGUGACAAGGAGUGUUGGAGAUAAAAUAUAAAGAAAAUUUUAAAAAUAAAACAUCGAAUAAAAAAGGCAAACUGCAGAAAAUUUAAAU